UACGUAGGGGGCUAGCGUUGUCCGGAUUUAUUGGGUGUAAAGAGCGUGUAGGCGGCCAGGUAGGUCUGCUGUGAAAACUCGAGGCUCAACCUCGAGACGCCGAUGGAAACCGUCUGGCUAGAGUCCGGAAGAGGAGAGUGGAAUUCCUGGUGUAGCGGUGAAAUGCGCAGAUAUCAGGAAGAACACCCGUGGCUAAGGCGGCUCUCUAGUACGGUACUGACGCUGAGACGCGAAAGCGUGGGGAGCGAACAGG
rnacentral:rRNA from 1 species